rnacentral:rRNA from 1 species
UGCCAGCAGCCGCGGUAAUACAGAGAGUGCAAACGUUGUUCGGAAUUACUGGGCUUAAAGCGCGCGUAGGCGGCAUUGUAAGUGUGAGGUGAAAUCCCACGGCUCACCCGUGGAACUGCCUUGCAUACUGCAGUGCUAGAGUGUGGUAGGGGAGAGCGGAACUCCUGGUGGAGCGGUGAAAUGCGUAGAUAUCAGGAGGAACACCGGUGGCGAAGGCGGCUCUCUGGUCCAUAACUGACGCUGAGGUGCGAAAGCUAGGGUAGCGAACGGGAUUAGAUA